UGGGGAAUAUUGGACAAUGGGCGAAAGCCUGAUCCAGCCAUGCCGCGUGUGUGAAGAAGGUCUUCGGAUUGUAAAGCACUUUAAGUUGGGAGGAAGGGCAUUAACCUAAUACGUUAGUGUUUUGACGUUACCGACAGAAUAAGCACCGGCUAACUCUUUGCCAGCAGCCGCGGUAAUACAGAGGGUGCAAGCGUUAAUCGGAAUUACUGGGCGUAAAGCGCGCGUAGGUGGGUUGUUAAGUUGGAUGUGAAAUCCCCGGGCGCGACCUGGGAACUGCAUUCAAAACUGACUGACUAGAGUAUGGUAGAGGGUGGUGGAAUUUCCUGUGUAGCGGUGAAAUGCGUAGAUAUAGGAAGGAACACCAGUGGCGAAGGCGACCACCUGGACUAAUACUGACACUGAGGUGCGAAAGCGUGGGGAGCAAACA
rnacentral:rRNA from 1 species